UGGGCCGUCCGACCCGCCGCUGGGUUUCGGGUCCUCCCGGAGCUCAGAGCAAAGGCCGGACUCGUAGCAGAGGCCGCUCGGGCCAACAACCCGAGGGGCGGCGCGGCGCAAGCCCGCCGGCACGUCAAGUGCAACAGAGAGCAGACCAGCCGAUGGACCGGGUGCCCCCGGUCACAGGUGAUGGGUGAAAGGGUGGGGUAAGAGCCCACCGGCGGUAUCCCGCGAGGGACCGGCCAGGUAAACACCGGUGCGAGCAAGCCAAAUUUGUCCGGAUCUCCCCGGACAUGGUAGGCGCGGCUCCCCCAGGGAGCCCGGGGCAAGUCCCCGGAGAUGGAUGGCGGGAUAGAGCAGAAUCCGGCUUACUGGACGGCCCGAUCC
rnacentral:RNase_P_RNA from 1 species